rnacentral:misc_RNA from 1 species
GAUGAAGAACGCAGCGAAAUGCGAUAAGUAAUGCGAAUUGCAGAAUUCAGUGAACCAUCGAAUCUUUGAACGCACAUUGCGCCCGGCAGUAAUCUGCCGGGCAUGCCUGUCCGAGCGUCAUUUCUCCCCUCGAGCGCAGCUUUCCCCCCCGGGGGAGGGCCGCGCCCGGUGUUGGGGCGCUACGGAGGAGCCCAGCGCUCCCCCGUAGGCCCCGAAAUGUAGUGGCGGUCCCGCCGCGGCGCCCCCUGCGUAGUAGUUUUACAACUCGCAUCGGGUCCCGGCGGAGGCCAGCCGUCAAACCCCCCAACUUCAAUAGUUUGACCUCGGAUCAGGUAGGGUUACCCGCUGAACUUAAGCAUAUCAAUAAGCGGAGGA